rnacentral:other from 1 species
UUUUUAUCAAAGAUCCGCUGGACAAAACGCCUCACAAUUGUUGUACUGAUACCCGACACAGCAUUUGUGUCGUUUUUUUUAAUGUAAAGGUAAUUUUUGAUGUCUAAGAUUAAAAGGUAACGUUAAGUGGUUUUAAUGAGUCCAAAAGGAUUCGGUUUCAUUACUCCUGAAGAUGGCAGCAAAAGACGUGUUUCGUACACUUCUCUGCAAUCCAGUCUAAUGGUUUCAAAAACUCUGGCUGAAGGUCAGCGCGUAGAGUUCGAAAAUCACUAACGGUGCCAAAAGGCCCUUCUGCUGCUAACGUAAUCGCUCUGUAAUUCAGACGCGUCAGCAAGAAUUU